rnacentral:rRNA from 1 species
UACGUAGGGGGCAAGCGUUGUCCGGAAUCAUUGGGCGUAAAGCGCGUGUAGGCGGUCCGGUAAGUCCGCUGUGAAAGUCGGGGGCUUAACCCUCGGAUGCCGGUGGAUACUGUCGGGCUUGAGUACGGAAGAGGCGAGUGGAAUUCCUGGUGUAGCGGUGAAAUGCGCAGAUAUCAGGAGGAACACCAAUUGCGAAGGCAGCUCGCUGGAACGGUACUGACGCUGAGGUGCGAAAGCGUGGGGAGCGAACAGG